GGUGGGUUGACUACAAAAUUUUUGUAGUUCGCUAUAACUACAGCCACUUCAAAAAUAUGUAGUCAGCUACAACUACUGCUACUUUUGAACAAAGGUAGUUCGCUACUGACUACAGCUACUGCUUAAAAAAUGUAGCGAACUAUUUCGCUAUUUCGCUACUCUAUAUUUUUUAGUUUUACGGUAUUUGGAGCAUCCACUAGCUCAGGCUGUAAUAUAACCUACAACAAAUCGACUUACGAGUAGCAACAGUAAACAAAAAGGGUCAAAGCAACAUUUUUAUAAGCACUACAGUGUUCAGGAGUGCCACUUUUCAUUGCGCUAAAAUAAUCUUUACUGUAUAAAAUAAUCUUUUAAGCAAAC
rnacentral:lncRNA from 1 species